UUUCCUUUCAAGAGAAAUGACUGUUUUGAAGAAAAACUGUGUUGGUCUUAGCUCUUUUGUAAUUAAAUCUGGAUGUACCUCAAAAGACUCUAUAAGACUGUGGUGUUAAAAGGCUUUCCUCUGGAGAAAGAGAAACAAAUCAACUGGAACUUAAAAGCUUGAAAUUCCAUGACAAAACACAGAUGUCCAGGAUUGGAGUUCGUGAAGUAUCUGCAGUAAUUGGAGUGGAUACGCUUUUCACUGGAGCUACCACCAUGAACUCCAGGGUCCCAGAUUUUCAAGAAGUGGACCUGUGACCCAGAAGAGCUUGUCAAGAUAUGACAGAACUCUGGAGGUGGACGUUUUGUAUUCGAUUUUGGAACUGCUGAUCUUGCCGUGAGUAAAGAGGCAACAACUCACCCAGCACUGCCACCAGCACUGUCACUGGGAACUUGAAGACCCAAGCUUCUGUCCAGACCCUCAGUGCAAACUGACAACACUCCAUCCAAAGUGAACUACGUCCCGUGCCUCCUGAUUGCUGAAUGUUCAUUCACCUGGACCGUCCAAUGACCUUCCUUCUGCUACUCCAUCAGCCUACAGACCUGGUACUUGGAUUUUUGUCCAUGGUGAUUCCUACCACCUUACUACUGAAGAAGACACCAUUCCAGUGGACCACUGUGACCCAAGAAGCAUUCAGCCAUCAUGAUGUGGCCUUUACCUCCACUCCUGUCUACUCUGCCCAGAUUCAGCACAGCCCUUUAUAGUGCAGUCAAGAGUCUUCAAGCCAAAUAACUGAAGCUAUUUUAUCACAACAAAGGCCAAGUUUAUUCCAUAAAUGUACAGUUCAUUUCUGCAGUUUAUUCUUCAGAGACACAUAGUAAACUUGGACCAGGGGAUUUUGUUUUGUUUAUAUUGUCAACACUGAAGAAAGGCAUCAUCUCUGAGAACAGCAUUGGACCCUACUCCACAAUCUCAAAUGACUGAAGUUUCAUGAACUGCCUAGGAUCCUGUCAAGGUCACUGGACUCUUAAUUUUCCUACUUCAAAUCUAUAGCUGUCUACUGAAUGAGAAAGCAGAUAUUCUGACCCAUUGGGAUUGAAACCAAGGCAUAUUGAAUUCCUCAUAGUAUCAUCUGUGGGUUACUCAGGAACCAAAACUUUUAACACCAAUUUAAGAAAUUCUACUGAGGAAUCCCUUUAUCUAACCAUCUCACAAGGCUUCAACCAGAUUCCUGAAAAGACCUCUUGAUAUAUCAAGAUAGAACUUACAUGCAUUUUGUGAACAACUUAUCACUGAUUUAACAAAGGCUUUGUGCUCAUGAAGUUCUUUGAAGGGGCGCUCUAUGGAAGUCCAGAGUAACGUGAAGCUGCUCUGGAUGAAGAAGUGAAGUGGGAAUUGAGGACUGCAACCUGCCACAACCAUCUUUACCACCAUGGUGAUGCCUAAAGGGACUUCCUUAUGUAAAAUUCUUCAGAAAAUACUGCUUGAAACCACUGCCCUAGAAAAACGUGUUUGACAUGAAUGGCAUUCUCUUCUUUUAUGUACUUCUAACUCAGAACAGUUCAUAUUCAGUUGAAGAUGCUUUAUCCAGAGAAUGAUAACUACAGCAUUGUCUAAUGAAGUUUUAAUAGCAUUCCAUCCAAGGUGGACUUCCUGGAGUUGGAUAUAACCAGAGAACAAUUCAUAUGUAUCCUACACUGAAGAACCCCAUUAACUUUCAGAAACCUAUAACUAGUGGUACUGGAAGUACGUGACUUGGAAGUCUGUGUAAAUUGCCUGAGAGCUGGUAUUGAAGCUGAUGCCUCCUCGAGGCCAUCUUAGACCAAGUUGUUCGGUUGUUAACUAUGGUACUCCAUGUACAAAGGAUAACCAUUAACUAUGAAGCAGAAUUGAAAUACAAUUUUUCCUAAAGGGACUUGCAACCUGGUUAUUCAUUGUCUCGAGUUUCAAGUCAUUUUGAUGCAACUAGUAGUUAUUAAACUGCUCCAUGUCUUUUUGUUAUUUAAUAAAUACUCUUUCCAGGGCUUAAAAAACCAAAACUAAAUUUCUCCAACACGUCUGUACUUGUCUAUUCAAAAUUAACUACUCACCAUUACAUGGAAGAGAUGAUUCUGAAGACACACUCUUUGAGCAUCUUUUAUCAUACAUGUGACUUAAAAUGUAGCUGGACAGUUUCCCUCUACCCAGUGAAAUAUUUAAUGAUUAGCCUUCAUUCAUGCCUGAUACCAUCGAUAUAUGUAUGUGGUAGGCAAAGUUUGACAUAGGCAUUUGACUCUAGGAUGUGAUAGCUUGUUAGUCGCUUCAAGUAGCAUAUUGUCAACCUGUUUGCUGGAAAAAUAGACUAACUUGGAAAAAUCUAUAAAUGGCAGCUAAGAAUUUUUUUCAGUAUUCCUGAGUUUCUGUCCUUGGGAUAUUUCAAUGGAAUUUCACCUGUCCCUUCACUGAACAGACUGACUUUAUUCCUUACUAUGAAGUAUUCUUAAGACAUUAAGAUUACUUUUAUAGAAAGGAUAAAAUUCCUGACUAUCCAAUCAUCAUAGUGAACAAGACUUCAAUUUGUGACCUGUGAAAAAUCUCAUUUCUCUACUUCAUAGUCAAUUUAAGGGCCAAACGCCAUCAGCUACUCUGAGUGCACUGGGUAAACGUUGGAACUGCCUUCUUUAUAUCCUUGUUUCUUCUCUAAACUAAUCAUGAUUACAUGAUUCUUACCACAAAUCAAAUCACUCAGAUCUGGUUAGACUGCUCACAGUUAACAAAUCAAACUCUGGAUGACUUCUGCUUGUAUAUGCAACUACUAUUUGUAAAGAAAUUAGAGGUUCACUUUUUGAUUCCUCUACAUUGCUAGCUCUUUGUGUUUGUAUUCAAAACAAGACUAAGCUACACUGCCAAUUAUUCCCUCCUGCCAUACCCAGUUAAAAUGAAGAAUCGGGAAUCUAAUCAGUAAGCGGAUAAGUAGAAAAAACCAAAACUUAAGGCAAAAAAAAAGCCUUAAUCUAGGGCCUUUUCUACUAUCUUCAUGUCUUGGAUUUCAUCUAAAUCAACAGUAUCACCCAACCAGUCUGAGGUCUUGACUUGCUUUUCAGAUGAUUCUUAGAGAUGGGCUGUAUUACAGAAGGUGAAGACUUGAUUACCAAAGAAAGUAGAGCCAACUAUGACAAAACCUGGCUCUACGAUCCUAUUGCUCCCAGAUGUAGCAUAGACUCAACUAGAACCUCAAGUCUGCGUUGAGGAUAUAGCCUUCUAAGCUGACAGUUCUUGCAAAGAUGAGCAAGAAAAUGAAAGCGCAAAGAUGAGCAAGAAAAUGAAAGCUGCUAUACCCAACUGGCCCUUUAAGAUCCAAAAAUAAUGUCUGGAGUAAACCCUGUGGAGUACCCAGGACAAAAACUAAUUUACAGAGCUUCAUUAUUAAUCUGCCUGUUCUUCUAGAUUAUAGUUUAACUAUUGGUGUGGCUGGCCCUGCUGAAGUUGUUUGCCUGCUUACCUGUCUUCAGCUCCUAACCUACCUUUUUUGACAUGCUACUGCGAUCAGACUGACUGACUUUGAGAAAACUACACUUUCAGCCUCUCGUGCCCAAUUCCACCAAGGAAGUUUGACUAGAAGGAACUCAUACCUUACCCCCACCAGAACUAAUGUUCGUAACAGAAAGGAACAUGCUACAUAUUCCUUGACCAGCAACUCUAGAGAACAACCCUGCUUAUUUUCAACACCUGAUACAUCUAUUUGAUCUAAUAGGCGUAUAGAAGGUUGGCAGCAGAAUACAUUGCUUCUCUCUGGUAACUCAGAAAUGAAUAUAAUAAGUUCAACUUGACAAGAAUCAGAAACACCAGAAGUUUACUGCUGAACUUCAUUUGCCACUAACUCAAAUAGCAUCACAGACCUGCUUGCCAAGUAGGCGGCUAGUUUUCCUGCUUCAUAUCACCACUGCAGUGGGGCUUUGAUGAAACUGACUUGGAAGGGAACCUUAUGUUGAAUCCUAGACUAUGAUGCUAAGGAAAUUGUUUAUUCAAGUGAAUUGUAGGUUUCCUGAGGACAGAACAGACAUCACUCCUGGUGAUUUUUAGAAUUUGAUUAACCAAGGAAGAAAUACCAGCUGCUAAAAGUCAACUUUAUGGGCAAAGAUUAAGCUCUCUAUAUCUGAUCUUAUCCUGGAUGCCAGUUUUUUAUUGCCCAACGACCAUUUCCAUCUCACUCUUAACAACCUCCUGGUGUUUUUUGGAACCAUCUCUUCCAAUUUUCAGUCCUUGUGGUUUAAACAUUCUUUUCUGUGCUGGACAUUUUGUUGCAACCUCACCAAUCACAGUAAAGUCUAUCUUGACUCUGGUGAUUAGUUCAGGAAUGGAUGCAUGAUUCAAGUUUGUCCAAUGAUAAUCAACCCUAGGUGUUCUCAGUUGUGGAGAAGUUCUCUUAGAUGCUUUAGCUUUGUAGGAGAGAACUCAAACCAUCAGGGCCUACUAUGUUGAGUAAGCCAGGCAGAAAAUGAAGCCAAUACAGAGGGAAAUGGAGCCAAAAGAGGAAGAGACUUGAGUUCUGAUGACCACAUUUAUGCCCCUGUAUCCAACUGUGCCUGAAGCUAAUAGUACAUCACCUGGACUUUUCAGUUAUGUGAACCAAUAAAUUCCCUUUUUUGUUUAA
rnacentral:lncRNA from 1 species